rnacentral:rRNA from 1 species
UACGGGGGGGGUAAGCGUUGUUCGGAAUUACUGGGCGUAAAGGGCUCGUAGGCGGCCAACUAAGUCAGACGUGAAAUCCCUCAGCUUAACUGGGGAACUGCGUCUGAUACUGGAUGGCUUGGAUUCGGGAGAGGAAUGCGGAAUUCCAGGUGUAGCGGUGAAAUGCGUAGAUAUCUGGAGGAACACCUGCGGCGAAGGCGGGUUGCUGGGCUGAUACUGACGCUGAGGCGCGAAAGCCAGGGGAGCGAACGGG